rnacentral:rRNA from 1 species
GUGGGGAAUAUUGGACAAUGGGGGCAACCCUGAUCCAGCGAUGCCGCGUGAGUGAAGAAGGCCCUAGGGUUGUAAAACUCUUUCAGUGGGGAAGAUAAUGACGGUACCCACAGAAGAAGCUCCGGCUAACUCCGUGCCAGCAGCCGCGGUAAUACGGAGGGAGCUAGCGUUGUUCGGAUUUACUGGGCGUAAAGCGCGCGUAGGCGGAUUGGCAAGUUGGGGGUGAAAUCCCGGGGCUUAACCCCGGAACUGCCCUCAAAACUGCUAAUCUAGAGACCGGGAGAGGUAAGCGGAAUUCCUAGUGUAGAGGUGAAAUUCGUAGAUAUUAGGAAGAACACCAGUGGCGAAGGCGGCUUACUGGACCGGUACUGACGCUAAGGUGCGAAAGCGUGGGGAGCAAACAGG